AAUCAACGCUGGCGGCGUGCCUCAGACAUGCAAGUCGAACGAUUAAAGCUCUCUUCGGAGAGUGUAUAGAGUGGCGCACGGGUGAGUAACACGUAAGUAAUCUACCUUUGAGUGGGGAAUAACCCGGGGAACCCGAGCUAAUACCGCAUAAUGCAGCGGCAUCGCAAGAUGACAGUUGUUAAAGGAGCAAUCCGCUUAAAGAGGAGCUUGCGGCAGAUUAGCUAGUUGGUAAGGUAAUGGCUUACCAAGGCUACGAUCUGUAUCCGGUCUAAGAGGACGGUCGGACACACUGACACUGAAUAACGGGUCAGACUCCUACGGGAGGCAGCAGUCGGGAAUUUUGGGCAAUGGGCGAAAGCCUGACCCAGCAACGCCGCGUGAAGGAUGAAGUAUUUCGGUAUGUAAACUUCGAAAGAAUAGGAAGAAUAAAUGACGGUACUAUUUAUAAGGUCCGGCUAACUACGUGCCAGCAGCCGCC
rnacentral:rRNA from 1 species